CUAAUACUCUCUCCGUCCGAAAAUACUUGUUGCGAAAAUGGAUACAAAUGAAUGCAUCUAAAACUAAAAUACAUCUAGAUACAUCCAUUCCUAGGACAAGUAUUUCCGGACGGAGGGAGUAUAAG
rfam:Triticum aestivum genome assembly, contig: Triticum_aestivum_CS42_TGACv1_scaffold_408059_5BL